rnacentral:rRNA from 1 species
UACAGAGGUCUCAAGCGUUGUUCGGAUUCAUUGGGCGUAAAGGGUGCGUAGGCGGUGGGGUAAGUCUGGUGUGAAAUCUCGGAGCUCAACUUCGAAAUUGCACUGGAUACUGCCGUGCUUGAGGACUGGAGAGGAGACUGGAAUUUACGGUGUAGCGGUGAAAUGCGUAGAUAUCGUAAGGAAGACCAGUGGCGAAGGCGGGUCUCUGGACAGUUCCUGACGCUGAGGCACGAAGGUCAGGGGAGCAAACGGG